AUUGAACGCUGGCGGCAUGCUUUACACAUGCAAGUCGAACGGUAACAGGCCUUCGGGUGCUGACGAGGGGCGCACGGGUGAGUAAUGCAUCGGAACGUGCCCAGAGGUGGGGGAUAACGCAGCGAAAGCUGUGCUAAUACCGCAUGUGAUCUGAGGAUGAAAGCGGGGGACCAGGCAGCAAUGUUUGGCCUGGCGCCUUUGGAGCGGCCGAUGUCGGAUUAGGUAGGUGGGGGGGUAAAGGCCUACCACGCCGACGAUCUGUAGCUGGUAUGAGAGGACCGCCAGCCACACUGGGAGUGAGAAAGGGCCCAGACUCCUGCGGUAGGCAGCGGUGGGGAAUUUUGCACGAUGGGGGCGUGCCGAAUCCAACAAUGCGGCGUGAAGGAAGAAGGACUUCGGGUUGUAAACCGCUGAUGUACGGAGCGAAAAGGCUCUGGCUAAGACCUGAGGAUGAUGACGGUACCGGAAGAAUAAGCACCGGCUAACUACGUG
rnacentral:rRNA from 1 species